CUAACAAGGAUUCCCCUAGUAACUGCGAGUGAAGCGGGAAAAGCUCAAAUUUAAAAUCUGGUGGUCUUYGGCCAUCCGAGUUGUAAUCUAGAGAAGCAUUAUCCGUGCUGGACCGUGUAUAAGUCUCCUGGAAUGGAGCGUCAUAGAGGGUGAGAAUCCCGUCUUUGACACGGAUUACCAGUGCAUUGUGAUACGCUCUCAAAGAGUCGAGUUGUUUGGGAAUGCAGCUCUAAAUGGGUGGUAAGUUCCAUCUAAAGCUAAAUAUUGGCGAGAGACCGAUAGCGAACAAGUACCGUGAGGGAAAGAUGAAAAGAACUUUGGAAAGAGAGUUAAACAGUACGUGAAAUUGUUGAAAGGGAAACGCUUAAAGUCAGUCGCAUCGGCUAGGGAUCAACCUUGCUUYUGCUUGGUGCACUUCCUGGUUGAUGGGUCAGCAUCAAUUUUGACCAGUGGAAAAAGUUCAAGGGAAUGUGGCAUCUUCGGAUGUGUUAUAGCCUUUGUUCGCAUACAUUGGUUGGGAUUGAGGAAUUCAGCACGCCGCAAGGCCGGGUUUUCAACCACGUUCGUGCUUAGGAUGCUGGCAUAAUGGCUUUAAUCGACCCGUC
rnacentral:rRNA from 1 species